UGGACUACUAGGGUUUCUAAUCCUGUUCGCUACCCUAGCCUUCGAGCCUCAGCGUCAGGAAUUGUCAGUAGCUCGCUUUCGCCACGAGUGUUCCUCUUGAUCUCUACGCAUUUCACUGCUACACCAAGAAUUCCAGCUACCUCUCCAAUCCUCUAGCAUGGCAGUAUCGGAUGCAGUUCCGGGGUUGAGCCCCGGGAUUUCACAUCUGACUUACCACGCCGCCUACGCUCCCUUUACGCCCAGUGAUUCCGAACAACGCUUGGGACCUUCGUAUUACCGCGGCGGCUGGCACGG
rnacentral:misc_RNA from 1 species